GAAGUGCGAUAAGCAAUGCGAAUUGCAGAAUUCCGCGAAUCAUCAGAUCUUUGAACGCAAAUGGCGCUAGAGGGAUAUCCUUCUGGCAUGUCUGUUUCAGUGUCUGAGAGGUUUCACACUUACCUUAAUGUGAUUGAACUGAAGUCAGUCAGUUUUAUAACUAACUUUCUUUUGUUCUCUCAUGAAAGAUGCGCGAGGGGAUCUUUCGGUCCAAUGAAGUGGUCACAUCACUCGAAUGUGAUUUCAUUGGAAGCACCGAAUUAUCAUUACCAAACUCGCGGUACCAUCAAAUCAAAAAAUGACGAUGAUAUUUCAUUAUCAUCAUUUUACUCUCUACAACCUGCAUCUGAGAUAGGCAAGAUCACCCGCUGAACUUAA
rnacentral:misc_RNA from 1 species